AAUAUUAGGCAAUUACUAAUAUUUUUCUAACAUUAGGGAUAAGCACACUAAUUCUUUCUAACAUUAGGCAUAAGCAAGUAUUAAUAUUUUCUAACAUUAGGCAUAAUGAAGUACUAAUAUUCUUAAACAAUAUGAAUCUAUGUACAUUAGCUCACAUAAUACUAGGCAAGUACUAAUAUUAUUUAACACUAGGCUGUAAUUAAUAUUUUCUAAGCAUUAUUCAAACGGUACCAACCUCAUUGUCGAAAAUUUUACCGGCUCGAUGUCGGUUGUGCACGCCUCAAAGUAGUUUCCAUCAAUCGGCUCGGGGUCGACAUGCGGAGGUGUUGGUCCAUACAAGUAAUCCAUUCUACAACUAAAAAAAUUAUUAGUAGGUAACAAAAUGAGAAAAUUACAACAAAAAUUUACAAAUAUUACCGACUAGUUGAUUCCAAAACAGGACUUUGAUUGUCGGUAUCAAAAAACCAAAGAAGGAAGGAGAGAGAAUUAGUAAUGUGUGAGAAAAUGAAGAAGAGGGAGGGGUUAUUUAUAGCAACCAGAUGAGACCACCAAGGACGCGCUGGCCUCCAACGGCUACUUUCUAACGGUCAUCUUGUUACCAUCAAUCGAUUAUCUCUGUGCUGCCGCCACCAGCUGAACUGAUCGAUCUGAGCUUCAUCUUCACUCCUCCAAGCUCUCUCGGAUAGUCAGAUAUCGAGUUGCUUCCCCGAACUAGUUGGCGUAGUAAGAAGGACUGUUGGAACACGCUAAUGGAGCAUGCAACAAUGAAAUAAGAAUUGAUUCCUUCUUCAUCAUCGAAGAUCCACUACCGCCACUGAGCUUACUCGAACACUUCCUAACGAAUUUCUCUCCAAUUCCUUCAAAUUGUCGCCUCUGUCUUGCCAUUGAACAUUUAGCUCCUCCCUAUCCCCUGAGAACGACGAUGAAGACGAAGCAGAAGCAAACGAUGAAGAUCGAGGAUUCAGCUCGCAAUCGUGAGAAGUGGAAAUCGAGCAAUGGCUUGGAGCCGAGCAAAUCGUGCUCCACAGGCUCGCGUACAAAGCAAUCAUCAUCAGAACCGCCAUCAGACAGAUCAAAUUGUAAGGAGAACAAACCUAAUUCGAUGAAUUCAACACACAAGGGUUAAAAGAGAAACCCAAUCAAAUUGAACUAUGCUUUGUAAUUUUUUUUUCUACAUAGCGAACACUGUACAUAGAGACUUAAAAGCUACUUGAGUAUUGAAUGUGGACGCAAAGGAGCAUUAGUCGGAACCCGCCUUUGGAGAAGUUUGUAUCCGAUCGGCGAGAGGAAAGCAAAGCAGAAGCGCCACCGUUUAAACUUUCGGGGAGCAUUUCGACUCCGGAUGACGAAAUUUCCAGAGCUGGGGAGUCGAUCUGAUCGCCAGACCUCAGAUCUCUGGUGAUUUGUCCAAUUGUCCUUAUCGCCAAAGUUCAGAACUUUGUGGGCUGGUUAGGAUAAUGCCGGAGGCGGCGACGGUUCGAUGGUCGGUUGCGCCUAUCUGAGCAGGGGAGUCGAUAUGAAUGAAAGAAAUUAUUACAUCCUAAUUUUAGCAAUUGAAACUGUAUUUAUUAAAUUACUAAAUUAUCCCUUAAGAAAUGUAAUACGAAAAGCAUAUUAGGGAAAUAAUAGUAUUGUUAUGUGAAUGAUUGUUAUGUGUUUGUUGCAUUAUUGCACCGUCGGAACAAACACCCGCGCCCCCUGCUCUCUCACCCUCCAAAAUCGCCUAACACCACCCAAAAUUAAAUAGCUCUCAUCCAAUACCAACUCCGAUUAACCCCACUACCGCUUCACAAACCUCACCAUAUCUACUGAAGCCGCUAUGUCCUCCGUUAUUGAAGCCACCAAUACCGACUCAACGACGAACGAUCAGGUGAUCGGAACUAAUGACGUUGGUACCGAAUUUGUAGACUUAUGAGAUCUCUCUUUGGAUGACAGCGACGAUGAAAGUGUAUCUCUCAAAGAGCUUACAACGAAGCCUCCUCCGCACAAAUUGCUAUUUCGGGGGUUAUGGAGACCGGAUCAUCUCCGACAACAUGCUAUCCCUUGUUGGUAGAUCGUUUUCCUUUUGAAUUGCUUUCUUUUUUCAUGUCAAGUGAGUCGUUAUGUCUUUUUCGUUUUCGCUUAGUCAUUCUUAGUUGCUAGUUGGUCGGUCCUGAACCUGUUGGUCUUGUCCACUUGAGAUCUACUGAAUGUCUACAGUAUUGUGGAAAGCUAGGUUGCGGAGUCAGUUAGCUGUCAGGUUAACUACUUCUCCCGGUGUAAUCUGUUGUGCGGAUUGUGCCUCCCGGGUUACCACCCAUGUAAUGUUCUUUAUGAUUUCUAUCAAUAAUAAGAAGUUAUAAUGUUGUCGAAAAAAAGGUUUACUUGCCAAUUAAAGAUGUGAAGAAAUUAACUUGCUUGUGAAUUAAAUAUUUGAACUUGAUUUAGCUCAAAUAGCGGAAUUGGAGGUUUGAUGCUUAAUUAAUUCGUUUAAUUCAAAGGGUUUGACUUGUCAGUUGAUCAAGUUUAAGAAUUAGUAAAGUUCGGUGAGGUUCGGUUACUUUCGGGUUUGUUAGAUAAUCAGAUAAGGAGUGAAGAUUUUAUUUUAAUUAGUGAUGUGCUUGGGAGACCUGAACUGUGAGAUGAAUACUACAGUGAGUGAUGGAGGCUUGAUCCAUUCAAGGAAGCAGUUAUGAGAGAUCUGAGUCGUUAGAUCGAUCAUGCAGUCAAGAUAGCCUGGAGCCGAGUUCAUGUUGUGAUGACAUAGGUGUUUGGAUUGUCGGAUUGAUCUAAUACUGGGAUGAGAGGCUUGAUUUAAUUCAAGAGUUGAUGGCUCAAGUGUAUUUGUGUCUUCAUAUGUUGCUUAUCCGCUAGCAACAGAUGAAGACAAAUUAUGGAUGUUUGUUGGAUCCUUA
rnacentral:lncRNA from 1 species